UACGUAGGUGGCGAGCGUUAUCCGGAAUUAUUGGGCGUAAAGAGCGCGCAGGUGGUUGAUUAAGUCUGAUGUGAAAGCCCACGGCUUAACCGUGGAGGGUCAUUGGAAACUGGUCGACUUGAGUGCAGAAGAGGGAAGUGGAAUUCCAUGUGUAGCGGUGAAAUGCGUAGAGAUAUGGAGGAACACCAGUGGCGAAGGCGGCUUCCUGGUCUGUAACUGACGCUGAGGCUCGAAAGCGUGGGGAGCGAACAGGAUUAGAUA
rnacentral:rRNA from 1 species